rnacentral:lncRNA from 1 species
GGAAAUACCAGCAUCAAUACGCCUCCUGACUUUCAUGACAGUGAACCAUCUUCUGAUGCCAGUGUGGGUGAAAGGUCAAAGUGCACCAGUCCACUGACCACACAUCAGACUACUUCAGAGAGUGAGGGUGAAGCAGGGCUCUCUGGGCAAGCUGAAGGGGAGGUCCCUCAGACAGAGAGCAGCAAGAACCCCGAAGAUCCUCUGGAGGAAAUGAGAGAGAUGCUCGAGCAAGAGUGGGGGAGGCGGGAGGUGAUGGUCAUGGAGAGGUUUAUGGGGAUCCUGUCAGAACAACAGACAUUCACAGGUGAGCCCACACAUCACUGAUAACCAUUAGCAUAGUAGGCUAUGCAACCU